rnacentral:rRNA from 1 species
AUUGAACGCUGGCGGCAGGCCUAACACAUGCAAGUCGAGCGGAUGAGGGGAGCUUGCUCCUGGAGUCAGCGGCGGACGGGUGAGUAAUGCCUAGGAAUCUGCCUGGUAGUGGGGGAUAACGUCCGGAAACGGGCGCUAAUACCGCAUACGUCCUGAGGGAGAAAGUGGGGGAUCUUCGGACCUCACGCUAUCAGAUGAGCCUAGGUCGGAUUAGCUAGUUGGUGGGGUAAAGGCCUACCAAGGCGACGAUCCGUAACUGGUCUGAGAGGAUGAUCAGUCAACAUGGAAAUGGGAAAAGGGCCCGAACUCCUAGGGAGGGCGGCGGGGGGAAAUUUUGGACAAGGGCGGAAGCCUUAUCCCGGCCAGGCGGGGGGGGGAAGAAGGUCUUCGGAGUUGUAAGCCGCUUAAGUUGGGAGGAAGGGCAUUAAGGUUAAACCUUCCUGGGUUGACGGGACCAAGAGAAAAAGGCACGGCUAACUUCGGG